CUGAGAAAAUCUUGGCUUAAGAUAAUUAUCCAUGGCUGAAAACGCAGGAAAUAGCAUUUCCGAGGUUCAAAUCUUAAAAUUUUCUCGGGGGAGCAUGCCCCCGAACCCCCCAAGGUUACAGGUCAUUCAUUUACUGUACCCUCCCCCAUUUUCGAGUACUCUACUCUAUCCCUGCAUGUUUUAGGUUUUGGUGCAGUUAUACAUUCUUUGUAAGUAAACUUGCACGCUUUAGUGUGGGGAACAUUAAGACAUAACCAUAUAUAAAAUAAAGCACAGUGAAAAUUCCUUGGCCCCUCUUGGGAUUCAGUUCUCGACCUCCUCUGACUGAAAACCCCUGCUACGUCUCCGAUGAUAGCUA